UUUGGACCAGAUAUUUGUGGUUACAGUACCAAGAAAGUGCAUGCUAUUUUGACCUACAACAACACAAACCACUUGAUCAAGAAGGAUGUCCCUUGUGAGACUGACCAACUAACUCAUGUUUAUACAUUUAUCCUCCGUCCAGAUGCAACCUAUAGCAUCCUGAUUGAUAAUGUGGAGAAGCAAACUGGUAGUCUCUACUCUGAUUGGGAUCUUCUCCCUCCAAAGAAAAUCAAGGAUCCUGAAGCCAAAAAGGUACUUUUCUUACCGGUGUUAAUUUAACUGGGAUACUUAUUUUGGUUGAGCUAUUGAUAAAUUCUAAUCAUGAUAUGCUCACAGCCAGAAGAUUGGGAUGACAAAGAAUACAUUAGCGAUCCCGAGGAUAAGAAACCAGAGGUAAUGCCUUUUCCAAAAGGCCUCUCAUCUCACCUCGUAUGAACUUUAUGUGUUAUAUACUGACUUCUAUAUCUUGCAUUUAUAGGGAUAUGAUGACAUCCCUAAAGAGAUCCCAGAUGCCGAAGCCAAGAAGGUACUUUUUACUUUGUUUCCUUUUUGCUCUAUAUAUAUCUCAUACUGUGCUUUAAUUACUGAUUAUAAUAUUUGAUGUUGUAGCCCGAAGAUUGGGAUGAUGAGGAAGAUGGUGAGUGGACAGCUCCAACCAUUCCCAACCCUGAGUACAAGGGCCCGUGGAAGCCAAAGGUUUGUGGAAGCAUUCUUGUAAUACAUGAAAUAUGACAUAUUGCAUCAUGUUUGAUAAUGAGUUUUCUAACUUCACAUCCUUUCUGCAGAAAAUUAAGAACCCCAACUACAAAGGAAAGUGGAAGGCACCAAUUAUUGACAACCCAGGUUAGAAAGCAAUAGUUCAUCAUUGUACACAGUAGUAAUAUUUUUAUAUUAAUUUGCAAUAUAGGAUCAAUAUAUUCAUUACUUGAAAAACAUGUACCAGAUUUCAAGGACGACCCCGACCUCUAUGUUUACCCCAACUUGAAGUACGUGGGCAUUGAAUUGUGGCAGGUAACUUUUCACUUUAAUUUAACGUCACCAUUUUAGCCGAUUGUUUUCCAUUUGAACUCUUACUAGCAGGCAAUUUUAUCUUACAGGUGAAAUCUGGCACUUUGUUUGACAAUGUCUUGAUUACCGAUGAUGCUGAAUAUGCUAAGCAACUGGCUGAAGAAACAUGGGGCAAGCACAAGGAUGUAAGCGCUUUCUAUUGUCUAAUCUUUUGGCCUAAAUUACACUGUUAGAUGAUAUGAUCUCCUUAAUGGAAUUGUUUUCUUUUGCAGGCUGAGAAGGCAGCAUUUGAAGAGGCCGAGAAGAAGAAGGAAGAGGAGGUAAAAAUUGAUACUGAAAAACAUAUUUGGAAAAAUUUGGUGUUUAUAAAAUUAUCUUGAAGAAAGAAACUUUUCUUACUCCAAUAUUUUGAUGUCUUGUACAG
rnacentral:lncRNA from 1 species